ensembl:lncRNA
GCGAGGCCAGAGGCGGCAGUUUAAACUAAAGAUCACAGGACAGGGAGGAGCCACAUCACAACAACAAUGCGCUACUUCUCUCGGUUUUCCCCAGUCUCGCUCUCAAUCUCUUGCUCUCCCACACACAGAUCUACCUACAGGGCACCUCCGAGCACAACAUGAUUAUCAGGGGGAAACAAGUCAGGUAGGGAUGACCAGACAUACCUGUUUUCUGGCUUUUGGUGUCCUGUCCCUGACUGGAGCUGUCCCUGUUUUACAGUACAUUUGUGCAUUUAAAACACCACAAAUAGGAGGCUGGUUACCAGAGCAAUCGUACCGGAAUAAGGUGCACUGAUGAAUUCCCAGACAUGAUGUAAAAGCAGCCAAUCAGAUUUUCAGAGCUGCUGUUUUCAACCAGCUCUUCCCAUUCUUGGUGCAACAUGAGGUCAGUGAUUGGUGUGAUGCCUCGGGCUAACAAUGUUUUGACAGUGAAUGCCACUGAGCUGAGAGCGGCAUGCUAGGCUUGGCAGACUUUUUGGGAUUUAACUUAUUAAUAGAGAGCUGCAGGAAAACGUGCUUUAAAAGCAGUUUCUGUUUUAAAAUUGAUAUAAAUGCAAGCCAGAAAAUUCCCUGAAUAAGUGAGGUGACUAUAGGGGAUUUCCUAGUCAGAAAAGCUGCCUUAUAACUCCGAAAGCCUAAUUUGAAAUAACAUGCCU